GUUAGCAGCCCACCCGUGUGCUCCUCCUUCUCUCGCAUCGUCUUCAUCCUCUGCUCGACCAGGCAUGCACGCACGGUUCCCCAUCCCCAAAUCCCUGAUCCCAUCCUCAUUUCCCUCUCCUCUUCUUCCUCGCGCCUCACCUCCCCACCAUGGCCACCUUCGUCUGCUCCUCGUCCUCCACUGCCGCCGCCUCUAUGCCGUGCAGGCGCAGCCUUGACCGGACCCGCUCGCAAUUCCUGUACGCACGACGGCGAAGGCCUCCCCACCACCAUCGAUCUUGAGAUCAGGGAGGAUAUUGAGGGCUCGCGGCGGUGACCGGCGAUGGAAAGGGCUCGGAUCAGGCCACCGUCGUCGGGUACGUGGAUCCGGUGGAGCACGUGGGCACAACCCUAGCCCACGGGCAAGACCGGCGUCUACUCCUUCAGUGUCCUCCUCAUCGAGAUCAUGGCUAUUGGCGCAUACAAUUUGGAUGCUUAUCUUGAUAUGGAGGAUGAGACACGGUGGUGGCCAUGGCCAGAGGAUGAGGAUUUGCCCGACAUGGAUGGCAGAGAUGGAGAGGAUGUUGGUGCCUGCGAAGCGGUGCAUGACAGGGUGAAGAGGGAGCGGUGCGUGACAGGGCAUUGCUUGAUGUUGAAGAAAAGGGAGGCCAUGGUUGAUAUAGAUAGGGAUGAUGGGGUUAAGAAUAUGUUCUUUGUUGCUUGUUAACUUUGUCCUCUGUCUGUUGUUGACUUUGUACCAUGCAGGGUGAUCACUCUUUAUAAUGUAGAAUGGAUGGUGACUUAAUGCACGACAUGGUGAUAACUUUGUCCUUUGUGUCUUGGCAACUUUGUCUCAUUUAGAGUGGUGACUUUUUAUACUUUACAGUGGGUGGUACCUUAAUAGAAAACACGGUGGUAACUUUCAGGUCCAUGUAUUGGUAACUUUGUGCCAUUUAGGGUGGAGACUUUUUUAUACUAUAGAGUGGGUGGUAACUCAGUAGAUAGCAGGGUGGUAACUUAAUAGAUAGAAGAUGGUAACAUUAUUUUC